rnacentral:rRNA from 1 species
UACAGAGGUGGCAAGCGUUGUUCGGAAUUACUGGGCGUAAAGGGCGCGUAGGCGGCCUACUAAGUCAGACGUGAAAUCCCCCGGCUUAACCUGGGAACUGCGUCUGAUACUGGAAGGCUUGAGGAUGGGAGAGGGAUGUAGAAUUCCAGGUGUAGCGGUGAAAUGCGCAGAUAUCAGGAGGAACACCAAUUGCGAAGGCAGCUCGCUGGGACGUUACUGACGCUGAGACGCGAAGGCUAGGGGAGCAAACGGG